GACGAACGCUGGCGGCGUGCCUAAUACAUGCAAGUCGAGCGGACAGAAGGGAGCUUGCUCCCGGAUGUUACCGGCGGACGGGUGAGUAACACGUGGGUAACCUGCCUGUAAGACUGGGAUAACUCCGGGAAACCGGAGCUAAUACCGGAUAGUUCCUUGAACCGCAUGGUUCAAGGAUGAAAGACGGUUUCGGCUGUCACUUACAGAUGGACCCGCGGCGCAUUAGCUAGUUGGUGGGGUAAUGGCUCACCAAGGCGACGAUGCGUAGCCGACCUGAGAGGGUGAUCGGCCACACUGGGACUGAGACACGGCCCAGACUCCUACGGGAGGCAGCAGUAGGGAAUCUUCCCCAAUGGACGAAAGUCUGACGGAGCAACGCCGCGUGAGUGAUGAAGGUUUUCGGAUCGUAAAGCUCUGUUGUUAGGGAAGAACAAGUGCGAGAGUAACUGCUCGCACCUUGACGGUACCUAACCAGAAAGCCACGGCUAACUACGUGCCAGCAGCCGCGGUAAUACGUAGGUGGCAAGCGUUGUCCGGAAUUAUUGGGCGUAAAGGGCUCGCAGGCGGUUUCUUAAGUCUGAUGUGAAAGCCCCCGGCUCAACCGGGGAGGGUCAUUGGAAACUGGGAAACUUGAGUGCAGAAGAGGAGAGUGGAAUUCCACGUGUAGCGGUGAAAUGCGUAGAGAUGUGGAGGAACACCAGUGGCGAAGGCGACUC
rnacentral:rRNA from 2 species